rnacentral:rRNA from 1 species
UAUGGAAGGGUGCAAGCGUUGUUCGGAUUUAUUGGGCGUAAAGCGCGUCGUAGGCGGACCUGCAAGUCCAGAUGUGAAAUCUCGGGGCCCAACCCGAACUGCGUCUGAAACUACAGGUCUAGAAUCUUGGAGGGGAAGGGGAAUUUCGCAUGUAGGGGUAAAAUCCGUAGAUAUGCGAAGGAACACCAGAGGCGAAGGCGCCUUCCUGGACAAGUAUUGACGCUGA